ACAGUGGAGAAGAGAACUUUUCUGCACAAAACUCAGAUUUCCAGAAUGAACACUGUCUUCGUAACUUUGAUCUGUCUGAGUAUCGGCGUGUAAUGAACGACUUGGCCGUACAUAUCUAUCAAAUGCUAGUCAGAAUCAUUGAGAACCAGGUCCAGCAAAUGAUAGUUCCUGCCAUGCUGGAGAGUGAUAGUGCUGGAUUGACUGCCAAUAAACCUACAGGAAUGAGAGGCAGAAGCUCUAGCAGUGUCAACAAUCCGCAGCAAGAAAUGAGGAACGUCUCCAUCGAGUCCAUCAUUAAACAGGUGCGA